UAGUCCACGCCGUAAACGAUGGUCACUAGUUGUUGGGGCUUUAUGCCUCAGUGAUUAAGCGAAAGUGAUAAGUGACCCACCUGGGGAGUACGAUCGCAAGAUUGAAACUCAAAGGAAUUGACGGGGGCCCGCACAAGCGGUGGAGCAUGUGGUUUAAUUCGAUGAUACGCGAGGAACCUUACCAGGGCUUAAAUGUAAGUUGCAUAGACCAGAGAUGGUCUUUUCUUCGGACUACUUACAAGGUGCUGCAUGGUUGUCGUCAGCUCGUGCCGUGAGGUGUCAGGUUAAGUCCUAUAACGAGCGCAACCCCUACCGUUAGUUGCCAGCAAGUAAAGUUGGGGACUCUAGCGGGACUGCCGGUGCAAACCGAGUGGAAGGUGGGGAUGACGUCAAAUCAUCACGCCCCUUAUGUUCUGGGCUACACACGUGCUACAAUGGUUAGGACAAAGAGUCGCCAACUUGCAAAAAGUGAGCUAAAUCUCGUAAACCUAAAUCUCAGUUCGGAUCGCAGGCUGCAAA
rnacentral:rRNA from 1 species